rnacentral:rRNA from 1 species
CCUACGGGUGGCAGCAGUGGGGAAUAUUGCACAAUGGGCGAAAGCCUGAUGCAGCAACGCCGCGUGAGCGAUGAAGGCCUUCGGGUCGUAAAGCUCUGUCCUCAAGGAAGAUAAUGACGGUACUUGAGGAGGAAGCCCCGGCUAACUACGUGCCAGCAGCCGCGGUAAUACGUAGGGGGCUAGCGUUAUCCGGAAUUACUGGGCGUAAAGGGUGCGUAGGUGGUUUCUUAAGUCAGAGGUGAAAGGCUACGGCUCAACCGGAGUAAGCCUUUGAAACUGGGGGACUUGAGUGGAGGAGCGGGGGGUGGAAUUCCGAGGGGAGGGGGGAAAGGGGGAGAUAUUAGGAGGGACACCAGUGGCGAAGGCGGCUCUCUGGACUGUAACUGACACUGAGGCACGAAAGCGUGGGGAGCAAACAGGAUUAGAUACCCGAGUAGUC